rnacentral:sRNA from 12 species
AGUUGCAACAUCCCCGUGGGUUGGGUGCAGGUCGCAGUUGGACCGGUACAGCGAACCCACUGCAACU